UACGGAGGGGGCUAGCGUUGUUCGGAAUUACUGGGCGUAAAGCGCGCGUAGGCGGCUUUGUAAGUUAGAGGUGAAAGCCCGGAGCUCAACUCCGGAAUUGCCUUUAAGACUGCAUCGCUAGAAUCAUGGAGAGGUUAGUGGAAUUCCGAGUGUAGAGGUGAAAUUCGUAGAUAUUCGGAAGAACACCAGUGGCGAAGGCGGCUCACUGGACCGGCAUUGACGCUGAGGUGCGAAAGCGUGGGGAGCAAACAGG
rnacentral:rRNA from 1 species